AGAGUUUGAUCCUGGCUCAGAACGAACGCUGGCGGCAGGCUUAACACAUGCAAGUCGAACGAAGCCUUCGGGCUUAGUGGCGGACGGGUGAGUAACGCGUGGGAACGUGCCUUUUGCUACGGAAUAGUCCCGGGAAACUGGGUUUAAUACCGUAUAUUCUCUACGGAGGAAAGAUUUAUCGGCAAAGGAUCGGCCCGCGUUGGAUUAGGUAGUUGGUGGGGUAAUGGCCUACCAAGCCGACGAUCCAUAGCUGGUUUGAGAGGAUGAUCAGCCACACUGGGACUGAGACACGGCCCAGACUCCUACGGGAGGCAGCAGUGGGGAAUCUUAGACAAUGGGGGCAACCCUGAUCUAGCCAUGCCGCGUGAGUGAUGAAGGCCCUAGGGUUGUAAAGCUCUUUCAGCUGGGAAGAUAAUGACGGUACCAGCAGAAGAAGCCCCGGCUAACUCCGUGCCAGCAGCCGCGGUAAUACGGAGGGGGCUAGCGUUGUUCGGAAUUACUGGGCGUAAAGCGCACGUAGGCGGACUGGAAAGUUGGGGGUGAAAUCCCGGGGCUCAACCUCGGAACUGCCUUCAAAACUAUCAAUCUGGAGCCGAGAGAGGGGGUGGAUUCCCAGUGUGAGGUGAAUUCUUAGAUAUUCGGGGACACACGGCGAAGGGGGUCCUGGGUCGUCUGACCUGAGGGGAAAAUGGGAGAACAGAUAAUACCUGGAUCCCCCCAACAGAAGCAACUCGGACAGUGUCGUGCCCCUACG
rnacentral:rRNA from 1 species